AAGAUUAUACUCUCAGGGAUCAUUUCUACAGUUUGUUACUAGAGAGGUCCCUCUGAACGUAUAGAGCUCCUGAAACCAUGAGGAGGAGGCACAGUGUUCUCUCCUGAGCGUGAAGCCGGCUCUUGGUGUUGCUUCUGCAAUCGCCAUUUGCCACUGAUGAUCGUUCUUCUCUUCCUCUGGGAGAGCAAGAGGAGGAGGAUGCUGUCUGAGUGGA